AUUGAACGCUGGCGGCAGGCCUAACACAUGCAAGUCGAACGAGUGGCGGACGGGUGAGUUAUGUCUGGGUAUCUGCCCGAUGGAGGGGUAUCACUACUGGAAACAGUAGCUAACACCGUAUAACAUCGUAUGCGCCCAUAUGGGAUUAGCUAGUAGGUGGGGUAACGGCUCACCUAGGCGACGAUCCCUAGCUGGUCUGAGAGGAUGACCAGCCACACUGGAACUGAUACACGGUCCAGACUCCUACGGGAGGCAGCAGUGGGGAAUAUUGCACAAUGGGCGCAAGCCUGAUGCAGCCAUGCCGCGUGUAUGAAGAAGGCCUUCGGGUUGUAAAGUACUUUCAGCGAGGAGGCGUUACUCGCAGAAGAAGCACCGGCUAACUCCGUGCCAGCAGCCGCGGUAAUUC
rnacentral:rRNA from 1 species